UAAUACCAGCCCCCUGAGUGGUAGGGAUGAUUAUUUGGCCUAAAACGUCCGUAGCCGGCUCAGCAAGUCUUUCGUUAAAUCCGGUGACUUAAUCAUCGGGCUGCGAGAGAUACUACUAGGCUUGAGGGCGGGAGAGGUCGACGGUAUUCCGGGGGUAGGGGUAAAAUCCUAUAAUCCUCGGAGGACCACCAGUGGCGAAGGCGGUCGACUAGAACGUGCCUGACGGUGAUGGACGAAAGCUGGGGGAGCAAACCGGAUUAGACACCCGGGUAGUCCCAGCUGUAAACGAUGCGGGCUAGGUGUUGGGGCAGCUACGAGCUGCUCCAGUGCCGCAGAGAAGUCAUUAAGCCCGCUGCCUGG
rnacentral:rRNA from 1 species